GAAAAUAAUGGUAGGAAUUCUUCCAAACACAUUACACCAUUGCCGGCCUCUAUAUAGGCCGAGUAACCUAGUAAUAUCUCUGCCACAUUUGUGGCCCGCGAAAAGUACGAUGGAACAAUCCCAUUUGGCAGUACACAAAAUAUAUGGGAAUUUUCCUAAGAAAAACAAAAUGGAACAAAGAAAACACUUGGCGGCUCCACAGAGAAAUUUGACAUGGAGGCAGCUAGCACGGUGAUGACUGGCCGAUUAGCAGCCGUUGCAGCCGCACUUUUGUUGCACGAGGUUGCACUUGCCGCUGGGAUCGCAGUUGAAGGUGGAGCAGCAGCUCGUGAUCUGGCAGCUGCCCGGGUUCGACUUGGAGCAGCACCGGCACUGGAGGCACGCUGGCGCUCCCGCUGCCAACGUCCCCGCGCCGCCGCCCGGGAUCGCCGUCAGCGCGUGCUCAGGCGCCCCCACCGGCACCAUGUCCGCAUCCCAUGCUGGUCAUUAGUCACGGCAGAAAAAACAAUCAGCGAUCAUCACAACAGAAAAGGAAACAUAUGAUCUCCGUUAUGCGUGUUAAUACCUUGAGCUCGUGGGGUGGCGAAGAGGAGCGUGGUGGCUGCGAGAGCGAUGGCGAUAAAGGCCAUCCUGAGGCUACUCGCCAUUGCUAGGUGUCCCUGUCUGGGGAUGACAAAGAUGAUCGAACGUCUGCAGGAAGAGAAACGGAGGAAUCGUUUGCUUUGACCGAUCUGCUGUGACCUUGCUUGCCCCUUGGUGAGAAUAUAUAUAGACGAGGAUUAAUUCGUUCCCAGGAGAGAAAUCAAGGCCAGCAUUAAUUUGUUUCUAGUAUUAGUUUUGGACCUUUUAUUUGCAUUGAAUUCAUUCUUGAUAUCAAACAAAAUAACCAAUCGACGGAGUUUUGCCAUAUAAAAUAAUUAUAAAUACUACUGUAUUUCUUUGGCCAACUUUAAAUGCGUUUUAAGUUAAUGCUAAAUAUAUUUCCUACUUCAAAAAUCCAUUUGGUCCUUAUCUCAAAUUACCCUAAUUUUAUCUUUUUAUUUUUGAGUAGACAAAUUGCCCUUAUUACCUUGCGUGACAACGCAUUGGAUAGCAAGUUGAUUGAGUGGCAUAAGAGCAAAUCCGACCUUCUAUACAUGCGAAGACUAUCCGAGUAAGCCCGUGGACGCAUCCGGAUGGCCNCAGUCCAAAUGGCAGCAAAUAUGUAGGUCAAAAUGACAGAAUUAUUAAGCUUGAUUUUCAUUGACUGCCAGAUCACAAAUUCAUACAUAACAUUUUCAUUACAGUACAUACUAAAUCCACUUGCCAAACUGAAAUUUGGUACACUAGCAUUUUCCCAACAACUACACCUACCACAAAGACAAUGAAAACCAUCAGCACAUUCAUAUAUUUCCCCUUCAUUGCUUCUAGUUAUGCAUUCCUCUCAUUUAACUGAAGCUGAAGAGCCAUAACCAUUGAUGCUUCAUGUCCAGGCAUAGGAACAUUUAUACACUCAUCUUCAGUCUGAGCCACAGAUCUUUGACCCUUUAGCCUCCACACCUCGUCUCUCAAAUCUCCAAUCAGGUCACUAUAAUACUUGGGCAAAGGAUCAUCAUGUCAUUCCACAUAGCCACGUCCACCAUGUUAUUCAACAAAAAUGAGGCAAGAACAAGAAAUCAAUUUCAGACAAGACCAAACAAAUUAGCAGAAGAGAAAGGAUAUGAGCACUCAAAUUGGGGCUCACCAUUACAUCUACGCAUGAGUAGUACCUCCUGCCGGGAUUUUGACGGCUCCACGAGAUCCACCUCGGUGCCUUCCGCGGCUCUCUGCAGUGACACAGCUCCGCGGCUCGUAGUCCAUUGGGUUCUCCCUGUAAGCGACAGGAGACCUCGAAUCUGUGCCCCUCCUUCCACUCGCGCGACGGAAACCGGGGGCGGAAGAAGCCCCGGAAGUCCACAACAUCGCGCCGCCGCCGUGCCCUGCGCCCCGUCACCCGUGCCUCCGCGGUGCUCUGCACCCCGUCGCCCCUGCCGCCGCUAACCCUAGCUUCUGUGCGCCCAAAUACCCCGAGCGCACCAGUUAGGUCAACGAUAAAUCACUCGCUGGCCCACGAGUCAGUAAAUCCCGGUUGACUACGGCCAACUCAGCGUUUUUUCCACUAAAAGGUUGUCAGGGUUCGUACUCCCUCCGUCUCAAAAUGCUUGUCUUUAAUUUGUUUAGAUAUGAACGUAUCUAGUCAUGUAUUAGUAUUUAGAUACAUCCAUUUUUAGACAAACCAAAGACAAGAAUUUUGGGACGGAGGGAGUAUUAGACAAGGAUUAGUGAGUUGAGAGUGCCAAUUUCGGAGAUUGUAAGUUUGGGGUUCGAUUUAGCUAGUGGUUACCACUUCAAUGUUUAUUUUGGACCUUUUCCUUGUAAAAAUGGAAGCAACAGCCUCAAUACCAGCCGGGAUACCUUGCGUGAGUAAUGCUACAUGACCAACGCCAAAUGAUAAAAAAAAAGACAAAGAAUAUGAAUCUUGACGUCUAGAUCAUGUGGUUAAUUAGAUACUAGAUGUGAGAUAACUAUAUCACAUCUAGAUAAGAAAGUAGCAAAUAUGUAAACGCACAGUCACGCAACUCGCGCGAGAAAAUAAGAAGGACAAAGAAAUGAAAUCACAUGCUUUUCGAAAAACUAGUUUGAAAAUAAUGGUAGGAAUUCUUCCAAACACAUUACACCAUUGCCGGCCUCUAUAUAGGCCGAGUAACCUAGUAAUAUCUCUGCCACAUUUGUGGCCCGCGAAAAGUACGAUGGAACAAUCCCAUUUGGCAGUACACAAAAUAUAUGGGAAUUUUCCUAAGAAAAACAAAAUGGAACAAAGAAAACACUUGGCGGCUCCACAGAGAAAUUUGACAUGGAGGCAGCUAGCACGGUGAUGACUGGCCGAUUAGCAGCCGUUGCAGCCGCACUUUUGUUGCACGAGGUUGCACUUGCCGCUGGGAUCGCAGUUGAAGGUGGAGCAGCAGCUCGUGAUCUGGCAGCUGCCCGGGUUCGACUUGGAGCAGCACCGGCACUGGAGGCACGCUGGCGCUCCCGCUGCCAACGUCCCCGCGCCGCCGCCCGGGAUCGCCGUCAGCGCGUGCUCAGGCGCCCCCACCGGCACCAUGUCCGCAUCCCAUGCUGGUCAUUAGUCACGGCAGAAAAAACAAUCAGCGAUCA
rnacentral:lncRNA from 1 species